rnacentral:tRNA from 1 species
GCGAGGGUGGCGGAAUUGGCAGACGCGUACGGCUUAGGACCGUAUGCCGAAAGGCGUGUGGGUUCAAGUCCCUCUCCUCGCA